UACGUAGGGCGCAAGCGUUGUCCGGAAUCAUUGGGCGUAAAGAGCGCGUAGGCGGCUUGGUAAGUCCGCUGUGAAAGUCCAGGGCUCAACCCUGGAAUGCCGGUGGAAACUGCCAAGCUUGAGUCCGGAAGAGGCGAGUGGAAUUCCUGGUGUAGCGGUGAAAUGCGCAGAUAUCAGGAGGAACACCAAUGGCGAAGGCAGCUCGCUGGGACGGUACUGACGCUGAGACGCGAAAGCGUGGGGAGCAAACAGG
rnacentral:rRNA from 1 species